rnacentral:rRNA from 1 species
GGCCAGACUCCUACGGGAGGCAGCAGUGGGGGAUAUUGCACAAGGGGGGGAACCCUGAUGCAGCGACGCCGCGUGGGUGAAGGAGUGCUUCGGCAUGUAAAGCCCUAUCGGCAGGGAAGAAGCAAGACGGUACCUGACUAAGAAGCCCCGGCUAACUACGUGCCAGCAGCCGCGGUAAUACGUAGGGGGCAAGCGUUAUCCGGAUUUACUGGGUGUAAAGGGAGCGUAGACGGCAUGGCAAGUCAGAUGUGAAAGCCCGGGGCUCAACCCCGGGACUGCAUUUGAAACUGUCAGGCUGGAGUGCAGGAGAGGUAAGUGGAAUUCCUAGUGUAGCGGUGAAAUGCGUAGAUAUUAGGAGGAACACCAGUGGCGAAGGCGGCCUGCUGGACGACAACUGACGGUGAGGCGCGAAAGCGUGGGGAGCAAACAGGAUUAGAUACCCGAGUAAA